GCGCAGUGCUGCCAACGCCCCGGUGGAGAAGCUGAGGUCAACAUCAGAUUUGAAAUAUUUAAAGUGGAUACAAAACUAUUUCAGCAAUGCAGACAAUUAAGUGUGUUGUUGUGGGCGAUGGUGCUGUUGGUAAAACAUGUCUCCUGAUAUCCUACACAACAAACAAAUUUCCAUCGGAAUAUGUACCGACUAUCUUGACUUCUCAUGGGUAAAUUAUAUACACUUUAUAAACAGCUGAAAAAUCAGUGGAAAGUCAGAAGGGGUGACACAGGGUUUGCAAGAAGUGCUGGGAGGCAAAACUCCAGUAGACAAGAUUCUAACGAGUGGUGGUCUCAAUUUGGUGAAGUAUGCCCUACAUCUUGGAAUGAGGUUUUUGACAACUAUGCAGUCACAGUUAUGAUUGGUGGAGAACCAUAUACUCUUGGACUUUUUGAUACUGCAGGGCAAGAGGAUUAUGACAGAUUACGACCGCUGAGUUAUCCACAAACAGAUGUAUUUCUAGUCUGUUUUUCAGUGGUCUCUCCAUCUUCAUUUGAAAAUGUGAAAGAAAAGUGGGUGCCUGAGAUAACUCACCACUGUCCAAAGACUCCUUUCUUGCUUGUUGGGACUCAAAUUGAUCUCAGAGAUGACCCCUCUACUAUUGAGAAACUUGCCAAGAACAAACAGAAGCCUAUCACUCCAGAGACUGCUGAAAAGCUGGCCCGUGACCUGAAGGCUGUCAAGUAUGUGGAGUGUUCUGCACUUACACAGAGAGGUCUGAAGAAUGUGUUUGAUGAGGCUAUCCUAGCUGCCCUCGAGCCUCCGGAAACUCAACCCAA
rnacentral:sRNA from 1 species